GCUUGGCCUGGAUAGGCUCUCGGUUCCUACUGAAGACAUAUUCUAUGAUUCCCACAUUUUUGUAAAGAGGAUCCCUGUUAUGAAGACAUUGUGGAAUACUAUUCCACUUCCAUUGCUUAGGAAGGCAGGACAAUUUGAAAAGAUACAUGUACUCCAGUGUUCAUUGCAGCACUAUUUACAAUAGCCAGGAUAUGGAAGCAACCUAAACGUCUAUUGAUGGAGAAAUGGAUAAAGAAGAUGUGGUACAUGUGUACAAUGGAAUAUUACUCAGCCAUAAAAAAGAAUGAAAUAAUGCCAUUUGCAGCGACAUGGAUGGACCUAGAGAUGCUCAUACUGAGCAAAGUAAGUCAAACAGAGGAAGACAAAUAUAAUAUGAUCAUAUCACUUAUACGUGGAAUCUAAAAAGAAAUGGUACAAAUGAACCUAUUUACAAAACAGAAAUAGAGUCACAGAUGCAGAAAAUAAACCUGUGGUUACCAAGGGGGAAAGGUUGGGGAGAUAAAUUGGGAGAUUGGGAUUGAUGUAUACACACUACUACAUGUAAAUUCUACAGCUAGAGUGCGGAUAAUUUUUGACUCACCCGCAUACAUAUAAAACAGAUAACUAAUAAGAACCUACUGCAUAGCACAGGGAACUCAACUUAAUACUCUGUAAUGACCUAUAUGGGAAUAGAAUCUAAAAAAGAGUGGGUAUAUGUAUAUGUGUAACUGAUUCAUUUUGCUGUACAGCAGAAACUAACACCAUUGUAAAUCAACUAUACUCCAAUAAAAAUUAAUUAAAAAGAAAAGAAGGCAGACAGUGUGUGGAACAUGUUAGGAAGUAGUGUUUUUAAAAGUUUAGGCUCUUGAGCAGGGAAUGGAACCCCAUUUAUUGAGCACUUACUGUGUAUUCACCAACCUAAAUACAUUUACCUCCUAACAAUCCUGCAAGUGACUAUUGUCUUUACCAUUUUACAGAAAAGAAGACAGACUUAGAGAGCUGAAGUGACUUGUCCCAGCCACACUGUGAAUGCUUUUUCCACAUCACUCUCUGUUUCUCUGACGUUUCCUGGCAGGGGCCUGUGUGGGAAGCCCGCUCUCUGACAACAGGCGGACCCACUGGGCUGGAGCCCAGGUGAUGCCCUCGAGGAUGGUGUGGGUGCUGGCACCGCCACACUGGCUCGCUGUGGAGCCCAGGGUUCCUGCCUCGGCCUCCCAGCUUUGGCACCUCUGAGGGGUGGCGGUGGGGGAACCAGCUCCCCGCUCCUGCCUAUAAAUCCAAGAUGAACCUCCCCUCUCCUCGGGGGUAGACCGUGAAUGGUAAAGUCCUUGCAGCUGGAAGACAAAUAGCUGAGAGAGCCCCAUCCUCUAGGGAAAAUCACUCCUGAAGGACUUUGAUGCUGACAGGCUCUGUUUUCCAUUCCCUAAUCAUUCAGGAAAAUACAUCAUUUCAGUUUAUUCAAAACAGUGGAAAAUCAUUGAGGUUUUUCCUGUGUAAAGGUCAAACUAUAAAAAGGUAAGUGGACUUCAGAGAAAUCCAGGCUAGUCAUGAAAAUGUGGCAGUGUAUUAAAAUGGAUCCAAAAAAGGAUUUAAUCCUCCUUUGGAAACAGCUCAUAAUAAUCCCCUCUCUACUCUCCUGUAUGUGUGUUAAGUUUCUGUUUUUAAGUUCAAGGACAUGAAGCAAGUGACUUUGAAUGGGUGGAGCAUGGACUGUGCAGACCAGGGUCCUGGCUCAGAAUCCCUGACCAGCUACUCCACGCCAAGUGUGAAGCCUGGAGCAAGUACCCUCACCCCCUGAACCUCAGUUCCCUCGCCUGUGAAAUGGGGAACAUCUCUAGUCUCGGUGCUCACCUAGUGGCCUGGGGUGCUGCCUGGCAAGGUGCGGGCCUGUGGACCUGUGAGAACAUUCCCACUAGCCCAUCUAUGCCUUCCACCUGAGAGGCGGACAGGUGUGGCCUGCCUUGGCCUGCUGGCAAUAUGGAGGGCUCUGCUGGACCAUGGCCCGGCCAGGCGACAUGGAAGCUCUGGCCUCCUUCCCCGCCUCUGGCCCCUGGCCUCCUUCCCCGCCUCUGGCCCCUGGAUGUUCCCAGGCUCUGAUAGUGCUCUGCCGCCUGGACUUGGGUGACCUGUGAAGGCCUUGCAGCUGGAAGAUAAACAUCUAUCUGUGAGAUCCCCGUCACGAGGACAUUUUAAAGGGCACUUGAUGUGGAAACUGAGGCUCAGAGAGGUUGAUAGACUUGUCCAAAGAUACCCAGCCUGAUACGCAGCCUGUCUAACCCUUGAGAAGCUGUACAGCCUGGUUACCCGGGAUGAUAAGCGGCGCUUCACCAUUAUCCCUGGGUGGGAGGUUCUACCACCUCUACUUAAUGCACGGAGAUAAUGGCCAGGAGGCAAGAAUGCCAAAGGAGGAAGAAGGGGCUAUGCCAACAGGAGCAGAAGCGACGUGCUUUAAAGAUGGAGGAAGGCGCCACAAGCCAAGGAAUACAGGCAGCCUCUAGGAGUUUUGAAAAGCAAGGAAAUGGAUUCUCCCCUAGAGCUUCCAGAAGGAACACCGGACUGCUGACACUGAUUUGAGACUGGUGAAGCCAAUGUUGGGCUUCUGACCUCCAAAACUGUAAGUUGAGGAAACGGAGGCUCGGAGAGGCGACGUGAUUGGUUCACGUUAGUUGUCAGAGCCAGGAUUUUGACUGAGCUUUUCUGACGUCCUCAUGACACGGAAGAGGGCUCAAAGACCAUCCUGUUCACCCCUGUCCUGUGACUGUGCUGUGCGAGUUUCAAGACUUUUCCUGGGAUACCACAGGGAGCUACCAGCAACCUGGGUUGGGCCUUUGUACCUAGGGGUCUUAUCCCCGCCCCCCGGACCUCUGCCUCAGUUCUGGACCAGGGGCCUUGGCCGACCCCAUUGUUCACCCACUUACAAGUAUGUCCUACACUUGGCGCUAUUCCAGGCUCUGGGGAGCUCUGAGUGUGGAGGAGCGGGCUGACACGGAUACAGCAAGUCCUCGAGGCUGAUGGCGAUGGCUCUGGAGCCCAGCAGUGCCUGAGUGGGGGUUGCCAUUCAGCAGAGCGGCAUUGGGAGGGGGGACCAUCUAGAGGCCUCGGUAGGGGUGGGCAGCCCCCACGGGGGUGCACGUGGCCAAAAGCAUGAGGGUAAGGGGUGGAGGUGACCAGGGACUCCGGCUGGGGAGGUGUCCCGCUCAGGCUAGCCCUGCCUGGUUCCACCUUCCCUAGGUGUUGCCUUCCUCACUAGCCCUUCCCUUUGCUUCAUCAUAGGAAACACCUGCAGAGCUCCAGCUGUGCCCUUCAGGGUUUUGGUUGUAGGUUUGAGGGGGUGGGGGGGGGAUACUGGGCCAGCACCUACAGAGGCGUGGCAGGUUGGUCACCAGGGCCCGGGGGUGAUCACAGCCCUUUCUGUCCUGGCCGGGAGCACUGCCGUGUCCUUACACCACUAGAGACCCUGUGUGUACAUGACAGAAGAGAAUUGUCCUGCAGGUGCUGUCCUGGGGCUUUGCAUCCUGAGCCGUCCCCCAGGGCAUCAACCCUGCUCCACUGCCUGCUUCACUCACCCCUCCACAUGGUGUUAUGGAGGCUGCAGGGGAGUGAGCAUCCCUGGAGACCCUUGCGACUCCUGGGCACUGUGUAGAGCAUUGGUGGUGUGUGCCAGGGGCACGUGACAUCAUGGAAGUUAGGUUGGACCUGAGUCCACCAUGACUGGGUAAAGUAACUUCACUUCUGAACCCCAGAUCUCUCAUCUAUAAGAUGGUGGAGAGGAGGAAAUGAGAAAAUCCUUACAGAAUGUUUCAGCACAGUGCCAGGUACCCUAAUGCUCAAUAGAUGCUGUGUGAUUCUCCUGCAAAGUUAUGGCCCUGGCGAUUCUACGCUAAACCAGAAGAAAUCUUUAAAGAAAUAGUCCCCGAUAAAAGGUGCAGAAAUCUCUUAAGAUGGUGUGGAAAAGAGGCCUGGGCCUCAACCAAUGGAAUGCUGCCCAUCACGGCACAAGCGCCGCCCCCGCUGUCCCCCCCCGCCCCCGCCCCCAUCAUCAGACAGUGGGCUUACAAGGGCCAGAAGCAGAACUUCUGGCUUUAAACCCUUGGUUGUCUAAAGUACAUGGAAUAAGAAGUUAACAUCAUGGAUGUCCCUAGAGGUGCCCUGCAGUCAAGGCUGGAACUGAUGAGGGAGAACCUCCCUUAUUGGAAAGAAGUAGGUUGCUUGGGGUCGAGGUACUGUGGGCAGGAGCCCUGCGUGCCGAGAGAGUCUCCUCCAGCCAGAAGGUUCGAAGACUCCAUGUGAAGUGUCAGUGGCUGGGCUUCCCCCAGCAGGGAGGGAAGGGACCCAGCUUCCUCAUCUCUCCAAGAGAGUCUUUGGAUCCUGGGGCAGGUGGCAGGAGUGGGAGGCAAACUCAGCUGGAUGCCAUGAGGACAAGGAGAGGCCUCCCAGGAGCAAGAGCCCUUAGGGUUCCGCUGGUCACUUGGGCAGAUCUAGGAUGGGAAGAAGGAAUAACAAACCAGGAGGCUGGGAGGACAGUGGCAGGAAGGUGGAGGCCUCAUGAGAAGCAGCAAAUCCUAAGCUUUUCGGAUUGUUGGAGCUGUGAGAAGGUGAGGUUGAGUGAACCUCUAGGCUGGGAGGCUGGUGGAUACUAAACAAACUGUUUGGCCCUGGUGCUGAGAGGUGGGGAUUCGGAGAACAAGCAGCCCUGCUGAGGGAAGGCAAUGUAAUACAACCCGGAAGGGACAGCACCUGGGUCUGCCAGCCCUCUCUCUUGUCUCGCGCUGCAAAGAAGGCAGUCACACGUGUUUCCCUGAGGUUGAUGACGUACCCUCAGUACAGAGCCUGGCAUUUGAGGGUGCCCAGGGGAGCACUGAAGGACUGGAUUUGACCACAAAAGGAAUGGGGAUCCCUGGUACUGACCAUGGACUGGAUUUUUUCUCAAGGAAAAUUAACUUCGGACUUCAGAGAGUAGAACAAAGGUAAAAACAAAAUAGAGGCUCUAUUUUAGACUCUAUUAUCUAUUGCACUGUGAAUAAUCCUGCUGCAGUUUUGCAAAGUGCAUAGCAUGCUUCUAAACAGGGUCUUUCCAUGAUCAGCCAUCCAGGCAACAUGUUUGCUGAGGAUCUACUAAGGUUUCCUGCAGAACCAGGUCCCAAGGGUGCCAAAUACAGGUACACCCACAAGGAAAUGAAUGUUGAUUCAGUAAGCUCGUUUAGUCUCUGACCACCCCUUUCACCAUGGGGACGCGGCACCGGAAGAAGAGGAAACAGCGUUGGGCUGGCUGGCCAAGGUCUCACUGAUAAUCAGUUCACGAUCAGAUCAAGAAGUUCCUCUGGGUUUCCCCAUCGCCACCUCGAGCUGACCCCCAGCUGGCCCAGCAUCUCGCCAUGACUAUUUGGCUCCUACAGAAGUAACUCAUCGAUGGGAGUUUCCAGUGGUAGCUACUGAAUAUCUGAGGGAGAGACAGGCUUCAGGAAACUGUGAAACAAUGAAAAGCUCUCAACAAUUGAUUUAAAAUCAAUACAGUAAGGAAAUAGCACCCAAAAUAGAAAUAUCCCCGAGAGGCUGAGACAGAUCCACACUCUUUGUGACUGUUCCUGUCACUGCACUCACUUCCCAGUCCUGGCCGUGUUGCAUGUGUUUAAAUCCACCAGACUCAGGCCUCAACCCUGUGCUCCUCGACACUUUGUUAAUAACAACAAUAGCUAUAUUUACAGACGGUUUCUCUCUGCCGGGUGCUUUAAAUGUGCUCACUUAAUGCUCCCAUCAAUCCGUUUACAUCGAUACGAUUAUUCCCAUUUUAUAGAUACUGAGGGUCACUCAGCUUGCAAGUUUUAGAGGUUUAAACUCAGGUCUGUCUGAUUCCAACAAAGGUGGUCUUCCUAUUUCUCUGUGGUCGUCAAAUUUGCAUAUGGCAGGGAAGAACUGGGAAAAGUUUUAAAUACAUUCGGUGAAAGAUUCAGGUCGCUAAAAUGUCUUGAGGCCCUGGGCAGCACUCUCCAAUAGAACUUCCUGUGAUGAUGGAAAUGUUCUGUAUUUGGGCUGUCCACUGCGGUAGCCACUAGCCACAUACGGCUAUGGGGAACUUGAAAUGUAGCUAGUGUGACUGAAAAACUGUUUAAAUUAAAUUAUUUUAAGUAGCCACAUGUGGUGAGUGGCUACUGUUGUGGACUAAUAGUAUACCUAGGGCUGUGGGCAGAAACCAACAGGAUGAUGCUGGGUCAGGAUCUGUACAACUCUUGCAUUUGGGUCAUAGGUACAGGACAGGGAAUUGAAAAUGACUGGGGCCCAAGCUGAUGCACUGUGAGCUGGGGCCUCAGUGGGUGAGGCCUCUGCAGUCACCUCUAGAAGUGGAAGCUGAGACAUUGAAUCAGAGAGAGGAAGGAGGGAGGGAGUGGGGAGGCAGAGGGGAGAGGAGGGGCUUGGAGAGUGGAGGCAGGUACAAGAUGGGUUCACCUGACGGCUCAGUCCCUUAUUCUCUGAGCUAAAUCCCCACAAAUGCGAAGGAAAGAAGUCUUCUCAAUGCCAGCUAAUGGCUCUGCCCCAAAGGGAAGCACCUUCUUAUCCCUCUGUCGGGUGCUCUAGACUUCCUGUGAGCUUGUGUCCACAUCCUUUCCCUCCAUCCACAUCCUCUUCCUUUGUUUGCUUUGGAGCAUCCAAGCAGCCUGUGUCUCAUCCUGGGAGCUGGAAGAUAAACAUCACCGUGGAGACAAACCCACUUGGCUCUACUAUGGCGGCUAACGGCCUGUUAUUUUGUAGCUCAAAGGCCCUUUUGCUUCUGUGAGCAUCGCCAAAGAAGACUCGGCCAUGGAAAAAGAUAUUAGGAAGCCGAGGGCAAUAAACUGCCUGUGAUCAGAAAGACUCGGGACAGAUUCCUGACAGGGGCCUCAGAGGCAACACUCUGAACAGGACAGCUACACGAACUGCCUCAGCCACUCUGCCUCUGGUUUGCAAACUGAAUGUGCCCCCAGACGACUCCCACCACACCCUGUAGAUUUGGGGGGAGCAGAUGCAACAACAGAAGGGCCUAGGCACCUUGCUCCAGGGGUGCAUCCUUUCUUUGGUCUUUCAAGGGCUUGGAUAGAUUUACCCUUUGUCCUCAUACUACCUUGAGUCUGGACUAAAAAGGACAGGAGGUUGGUAGCAGAACUAGUCAUAGGGAGAAAAAGGCCUUCCCAGGAAGUGAUGCUGAGUCUUGGGACAUCUAACUCCUCUUUUCUGUUUUGAUUAUGGAAGGAGAAGAAAGGGUGCAUUUGAGAAGUUUGCCAGACCUCGCUGAGGUCCCCACAUCCUAGAGCCCUUCUUCUGUGCCUGAGCUGGACUAAGGGCUGGAGAGGGUCAGACAAGGACAGAGGUGACCACAGUGCUGUGUACAGAUAGCCCAGAAGAGCUCCUGAUCAGUCAGGUCCUUGAUUCUGGGAACUAUAGUUACAUCAAAACUCCCAGCAGACAGCGAUGGCUGUGUCCAGAGCAGGCCAGUCUGCCCCAGCCAGGGGAGUCUCAGUGAUGUGAUCAAGUGUGGCUGCCCCGUGGCAGGUGACCCCUCUCUGAUGGCUGCACUUUAGGUGCCACAGACGAGGCAGACAUGAGUGAGGGUCUAUGUUAGUGCAGGGCUGUGGAUCUGGAGCUGGUCCUGGCCCACCAGGUACCCCGAGGGUAGGGUGUAAGGAAACCGAGGGCUGUCUUACUGGUGAUCUGGGCUCCAGUGUGGCAAAGCAAAGGCCUGUCUGCUUUCCUGCUGGAUAUAGAAGGCUCUGUCCAAUCAAUCUGCCUGCCAGACCCUGCGCUUUUGCUGUGAGGGUCAGUGUAAUGGGGGCUGCUAGAGCCAUGUACCAAUCAGAGCUGCAUGUGGGCAGGUUAGUGCUCUGUGCUGGAGCAUGGUGGUUCUGAAAAACUCAGCCAGCACCUGUGUCCAGGGAACUCUGACUGCCCUGGCAGCCUUGGUGCUGGGCUGGAUUUCCUGGGAAGGCUCUGAGUGGAUUGGGGGAUACUGGGCCUCAAGGACACAACAUUGAUUCUAGGAGAACGGUUGUUUCUGCUCUCAGCAAGAGCUUGGGUUAGGAGAAAAGAGCUUGGGGCACAUGUGAUGGGCCCUUCCUUCCGGGCCUGUGGUGUCGUGUAAUCAGUUGCAGCCCAGUUGGGGGUGCGUGGGGCUGUGUAGCCCAAGGCUGACACAGGCCUGUGCUAGUUAUCCUUGUCAGCAGUGAGUCUCUACCAGCCGUCUGGGCUGUGCCCUUCCCUGUUCUUUUCCAAAUGAAAAACUUGAGGACCAAGGGAGGAAACUCUUCCAGAUCAAGCAGUGGGUCCCAUCUCAGGAGAGGGGAGUAAAUUCUGGGUCUGCAGCGAGGAAGGGAACUUAAAGUGGGGCCAGGCUUCCAGUGUGAGUGUAAGAGGAGGCAGCACUCCAGGUCAGCAUUGACUCAACAGCAGCAGAAGCUGGCCUCCCACCCUCCCUGCCAGCUCCCCCACCAACAUAACGCCCGCUUCCCACCUGUCCCUUUCCCCUCUCCCUUUCUCUUUCUUUCUGGGAAUACAUAGGGACAUUUUCCAGAGAGGACACGUAAGCCUCAGCAAAGCCCACUGCGGUGCCCCUCUGCGAAUAUUUGGAGCAGAUGCUUUCUACUGCCUCCCCAGUCACGCUUUUUAUUGACUGCAAUGCCAGGGCCACGGGUUGUGAUUCUGUGGUGAGAAUCAAUUUCAUAGAUGUCAAUAAACUAAGAGGAGGAUUAAUUCAGACUCUGAGGCUGAGCAUAACAGCUAUGUGGGGUCAAGUCUACAUUUUAUUCCUGAAUGGACUCUGGCUUACCUGUCCAUUCCCUGGUCCAGCUCCUCAGCUUUCAUUUUGAGUUCACACGCUGAGUUUGGCCACAUGCCUAUGCGGAAGCCUGGGGGCCUUUUCCCCUUAUCACCCCCAAUGUUCAUUGUGAAAACCAAACAAUACAGGAGAGAAUCUGGAAAUACAUCAUGCGGAAUUGUGCCCCUCUCACAGCAACAAAUUCUGUUAGGUUUUCCCCUUCGAUCUGGGCCCAUAUGUGUGAUGGCUGGACCUGGACAUUCUCUUUAUGGUCUAUUUAUUCAGUUAAUGUUAGAUGCAUCUCUGUGUGUCCUUUGAGUCUUCGAGAGCAUCAUUUCCAGUGGCUGCAGAAUGUUGUGUCAAGUGGAUAGACAUGCAUUAUUUAAUUACUUGCAUUCUGUGCACAUUAUUGCUGGAAGGCAGGUCACCUGACCUGAUUUUGGCUCAUAACACACAUUUGCCAGUCCCAGUGCAGGGAGGUGCAAAAGUGGGGCCAGAUUUCAGAUGCAUUUAUUCAUGAAACAUUUAUUAACUGUCAGUUAAAGGAAAGAAACCAUGCCAUGGGGGAAAGGUCAAGGUUUAGGGGGGUAAGAAAAUGUGGCCCUAGAUACGCAGUGGCUUGAGAGUCUGGCUGGGGCAAGGAGACAGGCCCCCAGGUCCCACAUGUGAGGGGGGUUGUUAGGGCUUCUGAUCCCCAGAGAAGUUAUGAUAUGCCUGGUUCUGAGAAACUAGGUUCUCAAAUUAUUGGGACUUAUCGUUUAGACAUUGGUGCAUCUCCACUUAUUUGUCACUGAUGAUAAAAUAAUAAAGUUUGGAACUAAUUUACCUAAAAAACACAAACAAGCAGAGAUUCUAGGGGCUUUUCCUAUCAUCACUUCCAUUUGUCAUGUGCCUUCUGAUGUUUCUAGAGUAAGAAGAGAAAGGAUGUGGAGAUAGAGUACUUGUGGAAACUGUGGGAAAACUGGGACUCCCCUCCAUCAUGGGCUGGGCUGGGCAGGCUGAAAACCAUUGAUAUGAGAAGAAGAAUAAGUGCUGUUUACUGAACUCCUGCUUCAAGAUAGACACUGUACUAGGCACUUUACAUAAGGAAACGUGUCUCUUUAUAACAGUAUUUUACGCUAGAGAUGAUUCUCUUCAUGAUUAAGAAGAGUUUGUGAAUUAGAAAAGUUAAAUGAUUCACUAGAGGUGACGUCUCAGUAUCUCUUCUCCAAAACCAGGUAGCUGCAGAGUAUUUCAUAUAACCCUUUUUCUAAAGAGGGAUCUCAUGCAUCUGUGCCUUUCAAAAUAAAAUGGUAACUGGAUAGCAAUCUAGACCUAGGAAUGCAAGAGAAAUUAUAUGGAAUAAUUUUAGAAAGCUCCCUUAAAGUAAUUUACUUUCCAAUGAGAGUAUGUACUUAGAGCUGAAAUUGAUAAGCAUGUAUGUUUAGAAUUAGUACUUUAGUUUAUUUUGGUCAUUUUCAAAAGAAAGUGUACCAUUAAAUUAACAUCCCACAUCAGUAGGCUGAAAACCUGAUCUCAUCCUCACUCCUUUUGCUGGUAGAUUAAAGACUAGGGUAUUUACAGACUUUCUACUCUGUCUUGAAAAGUCAGGAGGCCAGGCCAGAAACCACUGACCAGCAAAUCUCAGUGCUGGACCAGGGUCUGUGCACUGAACUGGUGGCUAGAUUUGUGUGGUGGGUAGAAGAGAAUUUGAGGGACCCAGGGUGAGCAUUCCAAGGGGUUUUUCUUGAUCACUGUUACAACCAUAAUUCAUAGUCCCAUAAGUCAGAGCCAUAGGUUUCAUUUUCAAGUGGCCUAGAGAGGGCCUUGCUCAAGGUGAUGAUUUAUUAUGAUUUUUUCGUGGGAACCUUCUACAUCUGACUGGAUGAUGAAAUGCUCUCAUGACCACCCCUUGGGGCAUCCCUACUUCACACUCAAUCCCUGUGCCCCAUCAUCAUGUGUUCAUAGGGAUUCAGGGAUAGUUUCUUCUGGAGGCAUGUCCCCUAUGCCUGCCCCAUGUAUGGGGUGACAUCCAGUCUGCAGGCUGAUGUACACCCUUGAAACUUUGCUAUGAGUUUGGAGCCUGAGAUGAAUUGGGGAGUCCUUGGCAAAUAGAGGGGAGCUACAUCCCUCUACAAGAGGGGAAAAGACCAGGAUCUGUCCUGGGGCAACCACGCUUGAGCUACCAGUAGAGAGACAGUGGAAUAGUUGAAAGGCACAGUAGAAGAGAUGGGAGCUGUGUUGGGGAAACAGUGCCCCAGGGCAAAGAAGCAAAGGGUUUCAAGGAGGGAGUGACCAGGAAAGCCUGCUGAAGCCAAGAGGCCUGCGCUGUGCAGAGCUUGCUGGGAUUCCUCUUUGCUGCUUUUUGUUUGUUAAAUUUUACCCAAAUCUUAGAAAUUAUAAAUCCUAUGCUGUGGGGAUGAGUCUUACUCUUUUUUGCCCCCAGUUGUUUUGACAUAGUCAUAGAUUAUAUGAUCAUUAAAGAACACUUGGAAGAAAAAGUGUAAAGAAAAAUUUUAAAUACUUAAUUUCCACCCUUUCCAAACACACCAAAUGUUAACAUUUUGGUAUAUUUUCUUUCAGUGGCUUUUCAGUGGUUUAGAGUUAUUAAAAUUGCAAUUAUAAUUAUACUGUAUAUAUAAAUUUUUACACAAUUUAACAUUUAUACCACAAGCAUCAAUCCAGGAUUGGUCUUUUAAAACAUAGCAAGCAUCAUUCAGACUGGUACAAAGUUCAGCAGCCAACUUUUAAUUCAGUCAUCUUCAUUAUAUUACUUCUUUCUGCUAUAUAUAUUUUGGCUACUUAAUGUCAGGUACUGAGAGUAGUAUGUAAAUUUAUGCCCACAACUGUCUUCAUCUUGUAUUUUUAAUGGUAACGGAUUUUGCCUCAAGUAUUUUGAUGCUAAAAUACUGAGUGUACAAAUGUUCAGAACACUUACGCUUUCACAAUUGCUCCUAUGAAUAUAAAAUUACCCUUUUUAUCCUGCUUGACGCUGCUUAUUGCUUUAAAUUGUGCUUUGUCUGACAGAGCCACUCAUGCUUUUUCUUUUGUUUGCAUUUACCUAGUAUAGCUUUGCCUUCCCUGGAAUCAUUUUAUUUUAGGUGUGUCUCUUGUAUUAAUUUAAUCUGGGAACAUUUGUCUUCUAACGGGGAAUGGUAAAUGCUCACAUUUUAUUGUCCUAAUCAUUUCAGGUGGCCUCUUGUCUUCUUGUUUUGUGUUUUCUGCAUUUCCUUUCUUUUCUGACGUUUGAGCCAUAGCUAAUGAUUUCUUUUACCUUCUUCAGUGAUUUAGAAGGGAGACAUCUUGUUUCUCACUCCACUGGUCUGCAUUCUAUUGCCUCCAAUAAAUGUCUUAAUUUGUCUCUGGGUUUGGUUUGUAAGCAGCUCUGCUUAUCUCAGCCUGGCCCUUCUUAUCUCCUGGCCCUUAGCAUCUCCGGGAGGUGACACUCUCUGCAGAAUGGCUUUAAAUGUCCUCUGUUGAUUUCUUUGUUUGCUCACUCUGGGAAAGGAGUGCUGCAUAGCUGGAGCAGGAAUGCUGGAGGGCUUCUCUCUGGAGGAGGUGCCCCAUGCUUCCUGUGAGAUGGAGGGACGAUCCAGGCUCUAGCCAGAGGGGGUGUGUGUGCACAGCAAUGGUGAUGCGGGAAGGCCAGAAGCAUCAUUACCACCGCCUGUGAAAGCCCUGGGAAGAAAUACCUGUUGUCCCUUGGAUGAAAAAAUUGAUGUGAGCAGACCUGGCCCAGCUGGCAGGGAUGAGCUCUCUGCAGAGAGAGCAUCCCAGGGCUGAGGGACCAGAGUGAUAGUGGGUGGGGGAUGGUAGACUUGAGCUGGUGGGGUCCUAGUUCUAGCCUAGACAGGCGAUACAGGGCCUGUCAGUCUCGGGCAUGAGAAUUCCUGGGCACAUAAAUUUUUUUAUAUUCUUUUUUUCUUAAAUUGAAGUAUAGUUGAUUUACAAUGUUGUGGGCACAUAAAUUAUUUUAAAAUAUGCUUUUUGGGGACUUCCCUGACGGCCCAGUGGUUAGAACUCCGGGCUUCCACUGCAAGGGGCACAAAUUCGAUCCCUGGUUGGGGAAAACUAAGAUCCCACAUGCUGCAUGGCAUGGCCAGAAAAAGGUGUGUGUGUGUGUGUGUGUAUGCUUUUUAAGACUUGUAAGUGGAAUUUCAAUGCGGGCUUUCUCAGGGCCUCCAUUUGUCUAUUCUCUUAACCAGAUAUUGCUCCCAUGUAUUUUAUAUUAAAACUCUUUGGGGCAAUUAAUGGCUUUAAAUGACAUUUAAAUUUAAACACUCUGGCAUUUUUUUCAUUUAUGCAAGAUAGUUGCUCCUCUGUAUUCCCUAACGCAGAGGUGCCAGUUGUGGGGAGGACAGCCACAGAGAGGGGAGGGCUGAGGCUUGGGAAAGGCAAGGUGGGGCUGCUUGGGGAGGACAGCCUGCCAAGGCCCAAGAAGGUCUCCAGAGGGAGACAGGCCAGGUGGGGCUUCAUUGUUGUCUUUCUUGCUUUUUCCAGCUUUAUAGAGAUAGUAAUCACAUAGGACAUGUGUAGGUCUAAGGUGACCAUUGUGAUGAUUUGAUGCACACAUGUAUUGCAAAAUGAUUAUCACAAGGCUUCAUCUUCUGCAGAGCCUGAGAGGCAGAGGUGGGGCUAUCCUGCCACCAGUGAUCCUCUGCCUGACAGAUGCAGGCUAAGAGUAGCCAUAGGUCAGAAGACCAGCUGAUGAGAAGGGGCCGUGUAUGCAGUGGUCAGAGCUUAGACAGGGCCAGCCUGGCUUCUGAGGAGGAUGGUGAGCCAAAUAGCUACUCAGGAGAACUAGACCGUUUCCACUGGACACCAAAGGCUGAUACCUCACAGACACCAAGUUCCUUUGGGAUCAGCACCUCAGCUGAUCCUCUGGGAAGCAUUGGAAUAUUUAAGCCAGAAUCAAGAGGUGCCAAGGAAGCCUUGGGGCUGGGACAAAGCCAUGCCUAGCCACUGGAGUCAAAGUCAUCACCCUAAUCUCCCUGAUGCUCCAAGCUCACCUCAUCAUGAUGGUUACUGUCAAGCCCUUGGAGCACCAGGUGAGGAAACUGAGGUCCAGAGAUGUAGAUGAUAUAUCCAAGGUCACUCAACAGGCUGAUUCCAAUUCUUUACAGUGUUUCAAAAUAUUUUGAUCCAUUAGCUUUUCUUCUUCUAUGUGAGUUGGUGUAAACCCUCUGACUCAGGUGUUAAAGUCCAGACCCAACACAUGCAAGUGUGUGCGUGUGUGUGUGUGUGUGUGUGUGUGUGUGUGUGUGUGUGUGUGUGUGUAAUGCCCCCUGUCAGAGUUAGUCAUUCCUUUUCUGUGUUUCCAGUGCUUUCUGCUCAUCCCUCCAUCAUAUCAUUUAUCUUGCUGCACUGGAAUUAUUGUCUGUGUUUGUCCUCCUGACAGGAAUGAGAACCUAUGUGCAGGGACUUUGUGGUGUUCUUUGUAUACAGUAGGCACAAAUGAAUUUUGUUAAAUGAAUGUUGAUAAAUUCACAACUGUCCACUCACCAUGCAUAGGUUACCAUGGCUUGGCCCUAUUAAAUGUGCAA